GCCGCCCCCCCCUCAGCACGGCGCCAUCUUGGCGUUUUAGCAAGCGGCCGGGGUGCUUCCGCCGCCGUGCAUCGCUCCCUGCGCUGUCCCGCUGCGAAACGGGCUCGGGGCGUAAGGACAGGGGGCGGGAGCUGACCGGAUUUAGCCUAGGGAAGAGAAGGCUGAGAGGGGAUCUCAUUUAUACAAGUCCUGUGAGGAGCGGCUGAGAGGGUGUCUCAGCCUGGCGAAGACGAGGCUCAGGGGGACCUUAGCGCUCUGCGUAAGUCCCUGACAGGAGGGUGGAGCUAGGUGUGAGUCGAGCUUUUCUCCCACGGAGCCAGCGACAGAAUGAUAGGACAUAGUCUUAAUCUGCGCCAGGGUGGCGUUAGUUUGGACAUCAGGAAAAAAUUCUUCACAGAAAGGAUGUCUAGACAUUGGAACAUGAUGCCCUGGGAGGUGGUGGGGUCACCGUUCCUCUGCUCUUUAAAGAAAACCUGGAUGUGGCACUCCGUGCCAUGGUCUGGUUAUCGUGGUGUUUGGUCAGUUUGAACUCGAUCUCAGAGGUCUUUUCUAAACCAGUUGACUCUGUGAUUCUGUAAUGCACAAUAGAAUAUAAGUAUCUCAAAGGCAGGUACCAAGAGGAUGGUGCCUGACUCCUUUCAGUGGUGGGUGCCCAGUGACAGGAAGAGCAGCAAUGGCAGUACAAGAAAUUUCACCUCAAUAUGAGGAAGAAUUUCUUUACAUUGCAGGUAGCAGAGCACUGGAAUAGCUGCUCAGGGAGGGUGCGGAGUCUCCCUCUCUGAAGACAUCCCAAACCCACCUGGCCAGGUUCCUGUGCCACCUGCUCCAGGUGACCCUGCCUUGGACAGGGUGAUGCCCAGAGCUCCCCUCCUGCCCUGACAAUUCCAUCAUUCUGUGAGGCAGCUGCCAGAGAAAGGGGCACCUCCUGCACUUGGGGCCGUGAGGAUGGCCACAGCCAUCCCUGCCGCAGCGCUCACCCUGAGGGAGGCAAGGGCAUGACUGGGGGGAGUGAUGGAGGAAAUAACAGAAAUUUAUGUUAAAUUGAACAAAAAUUGAAUGUGGUGUGCAGUGAUCCUCCACGAGGCAGGGGGUGAAGCCAGGCCAUCCUCCCUGCUCCCAGGCUUUGUGGGGGACUGGCACAGCACAGCCAGCAUGGCAGAAGGACUCCUUAGUCGACAUUUCACAGCAACGGGGACAGGACAGUUGAUGUCAAGUGCUCUAAUGGUAACAUUUUGGACAGAACACUGCACUUGAGCUUUUCUAAAACACCACUAGGACUGUGACUGUGUGUACUGGGUAACUUGCUGAGGCAGACACUGAAAUGUUGAAAGGCCAAAAAGCACAGUCUUUCAGUCUGGAAAGCUUUUACUGUUGCACCUUUUGUAACUGGAUAAUAACAACUAAAAAAUCCUACAAACUUACAGUGAAAAGGAAGCAAAUCAGUGCUGUCAACAGUGUACAAAAUCUGUUUUACUCUCCCAAGAUGCAGCAUAUGGAAGUCGUGUCACAGUAAUUCUGCUCACUGGAUGAGCUUUGCAUGUGUGUUGUGCCUCUGAAAGUUUCGUAAAGAAAUACCAUCAGAACAUGGUUCUGAGAUGAAUUUGUAAAAAUUUUGAAUGUUUUUGUAUUUUCUUUCUUCAUUAUACAAAACAGAUUUAAGGACAAUGCCAAAGGUUGGAUAGUAUCAAACUAUAAAUUUGUUUUUGGAGAUAAAAAAAGAGACGUCUCUGUUACACAAGUGCAUGUAGAUUCUGAGGAGUAUCUUAAAUUCUUUAAUAAAUUCGGAUGUGUUGCACUAAUUCUCUUGACAUUUCCAGCAACUGUAGUUUGCAUUUACUGCAUCUGAUUUGGAACCCUAAGUUAGAAGCCAAGUUUCACGAGAAGGGUGCGUGAAAUGUUGAGCACUGUAUGUUUUGAAAAUUAUGUUGCAAGUAUGGUUUUCAAACUCUUCGAUACUACUUUAAACAAGGAAGAAAAAGAAGGGCUUACUAUUGACUGGACAUGUAAUUUUUGUGAAGGUGUACAGUCUCUUACAUGCUCAGGAACUAUUAUUAUUAUUACAUUCUCAAAGAAUUACAAUUUUAGGAGUGGAAUUCUCCAACUGUAGGGUCACUGACUUGCUGCCGUUGGAUGUGCCUUUGCUGUUCAUCUGACAGCCUUUAGCACAAGUGUCUGGAAACAACAGAGGUCUUCUAGAAGAGCAAAGGAUAACUAACUAUGCAGGCACAGUCCAUUACAGCUGCAUGCAUCCCAUAUAAUGACUCAGCGCGUGAGCUUUACCAGUGAGACUGGAAAAUGAAAAAAUAGCAGCAAACACUGAAGUGUUUGUCUCCUGGACCAAAUUUUAAUGCUUAAUCAUGUCUUCAGCAAGAUCCGCUUUCAACCCAACAAAUUUUGACAAACAUCGCAAAGCAUCAAGCAGUUGCAAGCUUGAUAAAAAAAAUAAACCUUACGGUGAGGGCUGCUGAACUGAGUCAGGGCCAAACUCCAGCCCUACGAGUGUGAGGACACAAGGCAGACACUGGAGUGAGAGGAGGCUCAUACACGUCGUGGUAAGAACAUAAUUGCACGCAUUUUCAAGUAAUCCAAGAGACAACUUCAUUUACACUGAAGGUUUUGGAUGUGAAUGGUGACUUUAGUCUUAGGUUCCAGAAUAAGAUAACUUACAGGGACUUAAUUUUCAGAAUGUUCUGGAAAUCGGGCCCUUUUAAGGGUUUUGGUCUACAUCCAAGAAAUAAAGCUUCCAAAAUGAAGCCACAUUAACAUUGUGCACUUUAAUUUUAUACUUAUUGACAUCAGCAGCCAAAAUACCCAAAAUUUUUAAAUGUUUUAAAUGUUAAUAGGAGUAGGACAUUGAGGAGAAGCAGUGCAUCAACCUUCAUGAAAAUCAAGAUGUAGGAACAUUGAAGGGAUUGAAAUAAUUCAUUGUUAGAAAUAUAUUAAAAUUCCAGCUACAAUAAUUUUUCAUUACCUGUAACUUAGAAGUGUUUUGGUCAGUUUUCUCCAAAGCUUAAUCUAAACAUUCUUUGCUUCAGGGCUCAAUACAGGAACUUAAAGCCUGCAUCAAUUUUAUGUUGAAAAAAUAUAUCAUGGAGCUAAAUAAUAUUUAUAGAAGGUUGUAAUUUUGACUCCCUUUCAGACAUCAAAGCUAGUACAAGGUUAACUCAAAACAGAUAAGUCAAGUGUGAUGUUUUAAGGCAUAAAUGAGUGUCAUAGGAUAAGAAUAUAAACAUUCAUUCCACCUUGAGAGGGAACUGGCCUGCAGAGAUAGGAAAUAGGUAAGAAGAUCUCCUGUGAAAGGUGUGUUGUGUACCUGAGUACCAUAUUGGAUUCACUGAGCUACACGGUUCUUGUGGUGCUUUGAUAAAACCCCAUCUGCAAAGAGCUGCCCUCUACACCUGGAUCUUGAAAAUCAUGUGUCCUACAAAAGGGUUGGUUGCAGGUGGAGACACCCAAGCACUACAGUCUGUGUGCACCACAGUGCAGGGUUUCUUUCUUCACAGACACUCUGCUCCUUUUCAUGUCAUUUUUCUAAGUGUAUGUGAGUGAAAACAAAAUAUUUCAUAUUAGAACGGGUCACAUUUGCUCAGGGAGGAAUGUAAGGGAAGAUGCAAGAUGCUUGUUCCCAACCAACCGUGCCUUACCAAAACACAUCAGCCACAGCCUGGCAGGCUUAUGCAGGCUCUGAGGAUAUUGUAGGGUCUGCUGGAAUGAUCCAACCAAUUCCAGCAUCCAGGCCCAUGGGGUUUGGGGAGUCCUCAAAGUAUGGGGCUUAAAUUUAUUAAGUUUUAAUUAUCUUUUUGACUAAUAUCAGAAAUUAUAUGAAGUGUUCACAGGAGGGAUUUUACAAUGUGUGUUAAUUAAAAAUUAAAAUCAAGAAAUAGUAACUUGUGGUGGAGUAGAUAAUGGCCACAUUUGUUCAGUUUUUCUGCUUAUUCUUCUAGUGCUUUUCCUUAGUUGUGAAAGUUAAGACAUGCUCUCAGUAAAACAAAACAUAUUAUAUUGCUGCAAUAGAAGUCCUCACUUAAUUCCUUUUGCCACUAUUUGCUUUAAAAAUAGCUUUAAUCAUAAAUGAGAGGAAGCUCAAAUACACUGGAGUACUAAAAGAUUUGUUGAGAACAUGAGAAUGCAUUUUACGUGCAUCUAUUUAAUGUAUGAAGUAUUAUUUGCUUCCUAGACCGUGAUCCAAAUCUGUGGAACAAAUGCAGUUCCAGAGGUUUUGCACACAUUACCUGGGCUUAUGUGGUUUAAGGAACCAAAAGGAGCAGGAGAGUAUAAAGGCCAGGAAGGUAUAAGCUCUCUUGGCUAGAUGCAUUUGCAUCCUGUUUGCUUACUAGAGAAAGUACAAAAUAGCACAAAGACAGGAAUAAACACAACUGUGAAGUGGAAAUAUUUUAAUACUUUGCCCACUGUAGAUAUCAGAAGCCUCUGACAGUGUCAAAGUCCUGUGAAUUGUACCUGUGUGGCUCAUAUCAGCACAUUGAUAAAAAACUUUACCUGUCCCUGUUUAACACAGAAUAAAACAUCCUCAGAAAGGAUGGCAUACCUGUAGUAACUGGGAAGGAUUGGUUUCUGGAUUAGAACACAACUGGCUUCUUUUAUGUUUUAAUUUUUUCUUCUAGGGUAACUUGUAUUAAAGUUUACAACGUCCUUGGUAAAAAUUAAAUAUUUUCUGUGCCUCGUUCGUAACCAGUGUAUUCCUCCCUUCCCAAAGGGCUGCAUUCUCCACGCUUACCUCCCAUUACCUUUUCUGUUUAUUGUGAGGACAGUUUAAGAAAUGCAGUAAGCUAUGCAACAUCCUUUGGAAAGGGUUUGAUUUGAUGCAAAAUUUAGUGCUGGGCUCAUUCAGAAUAGAUGAACUCUCUCAGCUACUGCCUACCCUUCUACAUCUGAGAAGAAUCUUGUGGAAUGAGUUAAUGACAGGAGGCAGCUGCCUUGCUGGGCUGAAACACCUGUCCUUACAUCUCUUUAAUCUCUUAGCUGCUUUUACAGGAUUUAAACCACAAUCCUAAACUAGCAUGGGAAUCAGCAGGAGCCAGUCACAGAAUGCAGGCAGUAGUCAUGUGUCUGUGCUGUUCAGAGGAGGGAGUAUUUGAUAAACUGGGCUUUUACCAACUUUGGGUUUGGGUGCAGUAAAGUGCAGCAGUCCAGCCCAAGGAGCAGCAAGAAAUACAUCCUCAGUCAAGCACAAGUACCAUCCUUUUAGAAAAGCAGACUGGAAUGAAUACAUUUGUCUUUUAUCUGGGGACUUGAAGCUGAACAUCCUCCUCUUUGUUUUAGGGGAGCAUCUAAGUUUACCUUUAGUAAAUAUGUGUUGCUGUAGUGUUUUACAGGAUCAAGUCCCAUAAAACUAAUUUAUUAGGCUACAUUAUUCCCAGACAGGUCAGUUUUCCUCCAAGUACUUCAGCACUGUUUGGGUGUUCAUGGAUAGAAAAAUUUGUAUAAACAAUGAGAAUUAAUGCUGGUUUGGGCACCUUAAUUCUUCACCUUUAUCCCCUGAAAAAAGUUGUUUAAACACAAAGUUUGAGUUUCCUCAGUCACAAAUGCACAAAAUGAUAGCCUUAUCAAGUGACCAAGUAGUUGCUUGUCUACACAGCAAAUCAGUUCCUGAGCUAAAAA